UACGUAGGGAGCGAGCGUUGUCCGGAAUUACUGGGCGUAAAGCGCACGUAGGCGGAUUUGUUAGUCAGGGGUGAAAUCCCGGGGCUCAACCUCGGAACUGCCUUUGAUACUGCAAGUCUCGAGUCCGAUAGAGGUGGGUGGAAUUCCUAGUGUAGAGGUGAAAUUCGUAGAUAUUAGGAAGAACACCGGUGGCGAAGGCGGCCCACUGGAUCGGUACUGACGCUGAGGUGCGAAAGCGUGGGGAGCAAACAGG
rnacentral:rRNA from 1 species